rnacentral:rRNA from 1 species
ACGGAAGGCAGCAGUGGGGAAUAUUGCACAAUGGGGGAAACCCUGAUGCAGCGACGCCGCGUGAGUGAAGAAGUAUUUCGGUAUGUAAAGCUCUAUCAGCAGGGAAGAAAAUGACGGUACCUGACUAAGAAGCCCCGGCUAACUACGUGCCAGCAGCCGCGGUAAUACGUAGGGGGCAAGCGUUAUCCGGAUUUACUGGGUGUAAAGGGAGCGUAGACGGCGAUGCAAGUCUGAUGUGAAAGCCCGGGGCUCAACCCCGGCACUGCAUUGGAAACUGUGUUGCUAGAGUGCAGGAGAGGUAAGUGGAAUUCCUAGUGUAGCGGUGAAAUGCGUAGAUAUUAGGAAGAACACCAGUGGCGAAGGCGGUUAGCUGGACAAUAACUGACGCUGAGGCGCGAAAGCGUGGGUAGCAAACAGGAUUAGAUACCCUGGUA